GACGAACGCUGGCGGCGUGCCUAAUACAUGCAAGUCGAACGCAGUGGGGACGGGUGAGUAAAACGUGGGUAACCUCCCAUCAGAGGGGAUAAAACUUGGAAAAAGGUGCUAAACCGAUACUGGAGGAUGGACUCGCGGUGCAUUAGCUAGUUGGGGAGGUAACGGCUCACCAAGGCCACGAUGCAUAGCCGGUCGGAGAGGGUGACCGGCCACACUGGGACUGAGACACGGCCCAGACUCCUACGGGAGGCAGCAGUAGGGAAUCUUCUGCAAUGGACGAAAGUCUGACCGAGCAACGCCGCGUGAGUGAAGAAGGUUUUCGGAUCGUAAAGCUCUGUUGUUAGAGAAGCGUUAUCUAACCAGAAAGCCACGGCUAACUACGUGCCAGCAGCCGCGGUAAUUC
rnacentral:rRNA from 1 species